rnacentral:tRNA from 1 species
UCCCUAGUGGCUCAGAUGGUAAAGAAUCUGCUUGCAAUGCAGGAGACCUGGGUUCGAUUCCUGGGGUGGGAA